UGUACAGGAACCUCCCAUUAUAACCUGAAGAUGUUACCAGGUGAAUUGUACAGGAACCUCCCAUUAUAACCUGAAGAUGUUACCAGGUGAAUUGUACAGGAACCUCCCAUUAUAACCUGAAGAUGUUACCAGGUGAAUUGUACAGGAACCUCCCAUUAUAACCUGAAGAUGUUACCAGGUGAAUUGUACAGGAACCUCCCAUUAUAACCUGAAGAUGUUACCAGGUGAAUUGUACAGGAACCUCCCAUUAUAACCUGAAGAUGUUACCAGGUGAAUUGUACAGGAACCUCCCAUUAUAACCUGAAGAUGUUACCAGGUGAAUUGUACAGGAACCUCCCAUUAUAACUAGAAGAUGUUACCAGGUGAAUUGUACAGGAACAACAUAAAGAGAUAACGUCCCGUCUACGUUAAUGUCCC